ensembl:lncRNA
CCAAGGCGUGGAGCCCAGAAGCAGAGCAGAAGUGCUGCCCAGGGUUCCUGGCAGUCUCGAGGUGCUAGGGACACACUGAAGUCCAUUCCACGAAGCAGUGAGGACACUGAUAAAACAUUGUGAGUGGAGACACGCUUUACAAUCCCAGUUUAUCACCUGGUGGUGGUUUGGUCGCUGCAGAAGGGGACACUGAGGUUCCAAGAAUGGUGAUGCUGGCCAAAGUGACCCAGGAGUGGAACCACAGUGAUUCAGGUUCAAGAUUCUUGGCUUGGCAACUAUUGUGCUGAUCAUGAGGCUCAUAGCCAUUUGUUUUGAAGAGGGUACUGAAGGUCAGCGGCUGCAGUAGCACGUGACUCAUCCUUAUAGAGGGAGAUGUGUGCUCAGCCGCUCAGUCAUGUCCGACUCUGGACCCCACAGACUGCAGCCCGCCAGGCUCCUCUGUCUCCAGGAUUUUUCAGAGCACAGACUCCAGGUUCUAGGGCUCAGGAGCCGUGGCACGCAGGCUUUAGUUGCUCCCCAGCGUGUGGAAUCCUCCUGACCCAGGGAUCGAACCUGUGUCCCCUGCACCGGUAGGGGAGCCACUGUACCACCAGAGCGUCCUGGGUAGGAUCUGGUCAGCACCCUGGAGUCCUGAUCAUGCAUCUCCCUCGAAAAGGCUGAGUAAGCAGGGACUCUCUCCCCCAGACUCAGCUCAGGCAUCUCUUUUCCAUCGAGAGUUUUUUAUUCCAUUGCCCUCUGCUCAUCUCGGAUCUCCAUCAUAGCUGUCUGUCUGUAAGUCUGUCUCCCCAGCUUGGGGCCAGGCUGGUUGGAUUCCCUUCAUGAAGCUCUCCAGCUGCUACGUCGUAGGACUCCCAAAGAUUUUUUUUUUUAAACAAUAAAGUACCUAUCUCUCUUGUUG